rnacentral:rRNA from 1 species
CGCCUCUUGAACAAAAAUAGGAGGUCCAGCCUGCCCAGUGACUAAUAUUCAACGGCCGCGGUAUCCUAACCGUGCGAAGGUAGCGCAAUCACUUGUUCUUUAAAUAGGGACUAGUAUGAAUGGCAUCACGAGGGUUAUACUGUCUCCUUUUUCUAAUCAGUGAAUCUAAUCUCCCCGUGAAGAAACGGGGAUACACCUACAAGACGAGAAGACCCUAUGGAGCUUUAAAUACCUCUUCAAACGUUGGACCUCCUCCCCAGUUUUAAACUCACCUUUAUUAACCCCGUACGCUAUGAAGACAACUUUAGGUUGGGGUGACCGCGGAGUACAACAUAACCUCCACGCUGAAUCAGACUCUUUAAGCCUGAACCAAGAGCCACUGCUCAAAGCACUAAGAAAUUAACAUCUAUUGACCCAAAACAUUUGAUCAACGAACCAAGUUACCCUAGGGAUAACAGCGCAAUCCAUUUCAAGAGUCCAUAUCGACAAAUGGGUUUACGACCUCGAUGUUGGAUCAGGGUAUCCCAGUGGUGCAGCCGCUACUAAUGGUUCGUUUGUUCAACGAUUAAAACCC